rnacentral:lncRNA from 1 species
GCCUCUGUAUUCUGAUGAAGCAGCAAGCCUGUGACUCAGGUUCGAGAGCCUGCUUUCAUCUACGUACUAUUUACUAUUACUGGAAUUUUGUCAUACAGUCAUACACAUGUCUGAAUUCAUAUACAUAUUCAUAAGAUGGCAACGGCCACAUUUAUUCAUGAUAUAACUUGCAUACAAAAAGAAUAUUACAGAAGACAAGAAGGCUUACUAUCCCAGAUUCAUACUGUGUAAGAACAGAAGCCGCUGAUCUCAGCCAGCCCCUAUGGAUUUAUUUCUUGCCAGUGAAGCCCACCUCAGUUCCACUUGCAAAUAAACCCAAUCAUACACUCUGUCAGUGAACAAGAACCAACGAAUUCUCCAAUUCCUCUUGAAUAAGAAGCCACAAAAGACAAUCCAGAGACCCGCUACCAAUCCCGUGCCAACGCCGAGGUAUAGCGACAAUGCAUCGCUCAUGCCCUCAUGCUCAUCUUCAGGAGCCCGUGGAGAGGUUUCAGUUCCCCAACAUUUCCUUGAGAUGGGUGGACCACAGAGACUUGGGUUGCCGAUGUAGAUUGAUGCUGGAUCGUCCAAAAUUUGUAGUUGAUUGCCGGAAGGUAUGCUGCCUGUCAGAUUGUUAUACGACAAGUUCAAGCGGGCCAAUGAUGUCAGAUGUGCCAAACUUGUAGGGAUUUCACCAGACAGCUCAUUAUGUGAGAGAUCCAAAGAUUCCACUGCCCGAAGCUCACCAAUAGUUUGGGGCAUUUUGCUACUAAGGUGAUUCCAUGACAAAUUCAAGUUUUUCAAUGCAACGAGCAUGCCGAUUUCCUCAGGAAUAUGCCCUGUCAACCUGUUGCUGGAAAGAUCAAUGUUUACCAUGUAAUUGAUUCCUGUUGUGUACUCAAGCCGCCGACCUUUUGUGAUUACCCAAAAACUAUCACUAUUAGUAGCACCAACAGUUCCCGAAGAAGGCAGUUGAAUUUGGACAUAUUGGGAAAGGGCAUCUUGUUGAUUGGGAGUAUCAGCCAUAGCUAUGAGGCUCCCAAGUGAAAGUGGUAUCUUCCCUGAGAUGUUGUUGCUUGCAAUGUCUAAAUACUGAAGCCGAUUCAUCUUGGUAAUUUUCAAAGGGAUGCCACCAGAAAACAUGUUUGAUCGCAACCGCAGAAUUGCCAAGUACGGUAACUUUGACCCGAUCCAUGUUGGUAACCUCCCAGAAAAUUUAUUGUAUGCCAGGUCAAGGAAUUUUAGCUCUUUACACCUCUUGAGAAAUGAUGGGAAUACUCCUGAAAUAUCAUUGCUAUUCAAGUUAAGCAUGGUGAUAUUUGACGUUUUGGGUGACUCUGGGCAAUUGGGCAAUGUGCCGUUUAGUAGGUUAUCUGAUAGGUCCAGGAACUUCAGUUGCUGCAACUCAAACAGGGAGCAUGGAAUGGUUCCAGAAAAAUAAUUUUGGAAGAGCAUGAGUGUUUCUACUGUGGGCGCUCCAAUAUCUGAUGGUAGUGGACCCGAUAGGUUGUUCCUAGAGAGGUCCAAGUAGACUAGGUUCUUUGGGAGUGUCGAAAUCGGGCCAUCAAGAUGGUUUGAACUGAUAUCCAACACGACAACUUCCAAUGCACCAAAUAUAGAAAAAGGGGGAAGCCUGCCAACAAACCGAUUUUCUGAUAACUCCAAAACUUGCACAUUGUGCAUUGCCAUCCAAAACUCAAUGGGAAUGGAAUCAUGUAUACUUGUGUUUGCAAUAUCAAGAAUGUCGAGUGUUGGUUGGCUAAUCCAUGUUGGAAAAUGGGGGCCCAGGAUGCAAGAUCUAAAGCCCGCUGAAGUUAAUUUGAAUGGAGGGUUCCACGUGUUGUCAACCAGUAUAGUUAAGGAAUUAUUGGAGAUCCAUAGAACCUGUAGGCUAGUAAGAUUCCUGAAAUGCUCUUCGGUGAUCGUACCAUGCAAGUUGUUUGAAUCCAACCGUAAGUCCUUUAAAUUUGCGAGUUCCCGCAUACUGAUCGGUAUCUCUCCGGAUAGUUUAUUAUUACGGAGCCAAAGUAUGGACAAACUGCUAAAUUGCUCUAGCCAAUCUGGAAGGCUCCCUGUGAAAUUAUUCUGGUACAAGUAUAGCUGUUGUAAGUCAUCCGUUGGCAAUCUAUGCAAUAGAUCUUGUAUGGCCCCGCCGAUGAAGUUCUCCCCUAAGUUGAGGAAUUUCAAUUUUUUAAGUUUCUUCAAGCUCCAAGGCACCAUGCCAAAGUUGUUUCUGCUAAGGGAUAGUGUUUGAAUGGAGGUCAAGUUUCCAACUGCGUCAGGAAUAGAACCCUCGAUUCCGCAGCUAUCCAUGUAAAAGUGUUGGAGAGCGGGCAGGUCCCAAGCCAAGUAGUUGGCUCCAAAGGACGAGUUAAAGGAGUUGGACUCGAGAUGUAGGGUCACUAGUGAUGUGAGGUUGGAGCGGAACGGCAGCGGCAUAGUGUUCCGAAGCCCGCAGGAUACUAGUUCAAGGAGUACCAAGGAGGGGAGCAUGUUGACAGCAUGAGCCCAGUCGACGGCGGCACUUAGGUCCACCCCGGACAUGGCGAGGUGGCGUAGCUUCUGCAGGCGCGACACCCAUGUGAGACUAGGCGAGUAACAAUUGUGGGGCUGAUAGUAGUCGUAGAGGUCGAGGACGAGCAAGCUGGAGAGGUUUCCGAGGUGGGGAGGCAUCCGGCCGCCGAAGUACGAGUUGGCGAGGAGGAGAUGUGUCAGGCUGCCGAGUCCACCGAUGAACUCCGGGAUCGGCCUGCCGCCGAAGUUGUUGGACGAGAGGUCCAGGUGCUUGAGAUGACGCAGAGUGAGCAAGGAGGAGCUUAUCUCACCUCCAAUGGUAGUUCCGGGCACGAGUUCACCUUUCGAGUUGGUGUGGGUUCUGACCUGGAGCUUAACGACGUGGCCAGUCCGGUUGCUGCACUCAACGACGGCCCACCGGCAGCAGUCCACCUCGCCCCGCCAUGACGACAGGUAGUUGCUCGGGUCGGUGAGGCCGGCCUUGAAGCCGAGAAGCGCGUCCCGCUCGCGGGGGAUGCAGAGGGUGCCUCCUGGCGCUGCCGGUGGUGAUGGCGGUGAUCGGAGUGCAGGCACGGCUGCGGCCGACGAGCUCCGGAGGAAGACGAGGAACCACGUCGUUCGGAGGAUCGCCGCAACUUGGAUCUGCAGAUGUCUUGGCCUCGCCAUUUUCUCGGCAGCAACAGCAGCUGGCUGCAAUGAGAUGCGAGAGAGUUGGACUGUAGGUUGUAUCCACAGCAGCUGGCUUUUAAAGCAUGAAAAUUCCAAAGACCAAACAGGGUAGCGCGUCAAAUUAAGUCGUAAGAGCAUCUCCAACAGGCGCGCUACGCGCCGCGCCUAAAAAACUAGUUUGUCGCACGCUGGUCGCCUGGUUUGGCGCGUCGCGCAACGCUGGCUCCAGCAGUAGCUGUAAAAUGCAGCGCGCGCGCUCCGUUCCAGCAGCGCGCUAAAAUGCAGCGCGCGCCGCUGUAGCAGCGCCCAAAUAUAUGGCAUUUGGACAAAAAAUAGUUUGAAACAUUCAUCAAAAUGCAAUGAACAUGUGAAAUUUAACACAAACAAGUUGAUGAAUAAAAGUCAUGCCCACAAGUUCAUCCAACCAAGUUCAAAAUACAAGUUCAUCCAACAAAGUUGAAGACAUAUAACACAUCAAUCAUCUUCCUCGUCGUCUUCCUCUUCUUCCGAAGACGAUUCUUCCGCCUUCGAAGAUGAAUCUUCCUCCCUAACCUCAUCACGCACCGCAUCACGUGUAGCUCCGACGGUCUUGGCAAGAUCUUCAACGGCAUUUUCAUGGGUAUGUGUGUGAGGCACAUCGAAAGACAUUUCACCCAUGGCCGGAGGUGCACCCAUGCCUCCCAUGAGAGAAGCAAAACUCAUGCCACCCAUGCCUCCCAUAGCGUUGAAGGGUGCUCCAAAGCCACCCAUGCCUCCCAUAGCGUUGGAGGGGGCUCCAAAGCCACCCAUGCCUCCCAUGGCGGCCGGAGGUGCACCCAUGCCUCCCAUGGCUCCGAAGCCACCCAAGCCUCCCAUGGCGCCGAGGCCCAUGCCUCCCAUGCCGCCAAGGCCACCGCCACCCAUGCCGCCAAGGCCACCGCCACCCAUUGUGCAGAUCAUGGCUCUUUUUUGAAUCAACACUUCUUCACGGGCAAGGUUGACAUAUUCCUUUUGCGCAUCAUUGAACAAAGAUGUGUUAAGAAGAACAAGUGCUUUUCCCAUUCCAACAACUUAGCUCGCUCCUCCAUGCCCACCUUCCUCUCCCCCAAUGCCACAUUCCUCUCCUCGGCGGCCACCCUCCUCUCCUCGGCCGCGGCAUCUUGGUUCCUUGCCAUUUUCCUCACCUCGUUCGCUUCUUUUCUUGCCUUCACAAUAGCUUCCAUAGCAUUUGUGGGCUCAUCAUCUCCUUUCCUCUUCUUCUUUUCGGUUUUGUCCUUCUUGCACCCAUCCGGUCGUUUUGGUUUCGAGUAUGAAAUCGAGUUGGGUGUGGGGCUUCUCUUGCCGUCAUCACUUGAUGCAUCAUCCUCCUCAUCAUCAUCAUUCAACUCAAUUGUGCGCUUGCGUUUGUUGCUCAAAUGCAAAUCAUCCAAAUCUUCACGCUUCUUCCAUUUCUCAUCAUCCUUCAACACUUCGUAGCAAUGAGGCAAGGUAAAGAUUUUUCCUUUCUUGAUCUUCCCCUUCUUGGUUGUCCUCGUCUCUUCUUUGAACAAGUUUUGUGCAAUGUUGUACUACAAGAAAAACAAAACAAGUUAGCACUUCGGACACCAAAAACAAGUAUGAUGAACAUGUAUGAGAUGCCACUUACUCUAUCAUCCUCAUUUGUGCCACUUGGGUUAAGCUUGUCAACUGCCUUUUGUGCGGCCGCGCCAGCGCCAACGCCCGCCGCACUAGGGUUUUCGGCGGCUGCGGCGGUGGCGGCGACGGGGGGGGGGGGGGGGGGGGGGGGGGGGGGGGGGGGGUCGCGGCUGUACAGUGGGGUCAGCGGGGUGCCGGUGUGCACGUCCAUGGUGGCAGUGGCGCUGCGCCGGCGCGCGCGGGAGCAAAGGAGGAAGAAAAGGGGAGAGUUCCCGCGCGCGCUCGAGUCUGCCGCGCGCGAAAGUGGACGCCCAAAAUACGCAGCGCGGGAUGGGGCUAUGACCAGCGCGUCCAACUCGUUUUAGCGCGCCCGCUGGAGCUGUCCCUCGCGUUGCGCGCGCGCUAUAUUUGCCUUUUUUGCGGCGCGGCGCUAGUAUUGCGCGGCUGUUGGAGAUGCUCUAAACGGCGGCAAGUUCAGGCCAGAACAUCCGCACUGCUGUCUGCUGAGCUCAGCUCCUUUGUACUCCACACUAAUAUAACUACAUUACAAAAUAGUAGGACUAGUAGGAAUUUUCUUAUGAUAUCCUAGCUAGCACAACAUCGCAGACCCAAAAUGUUCUAGGGUACUCCCUCGAGUACUCCUACUCCCUCUGUAAAAAUAAUAAUAUAUAAAAGCGUUUAAUUAGAUCACUACUCGAAGGGAGUAAAACCUAGUGGCUAUUUUUGGGGCUGGUUUGGUCUUUGUCUCUUUCAGUAUAGAACAUUUCCUUUUCAGAGUUUUAGUAUAUCAGUGCUGGUUUGGCAUGGGGCCUAUCCAGCAUGACGGCUCCAUGUAGCAAGUGUGUGUUCGUUGUGUACAGUACGUUUCUUUUUUUUUUUUUGAAAAAAAGGGUUUCCCCCUGCCCCAUUUUAUUGAAGCAGAGCACAGCAAAACAACACCGCAUCUAAACGAUACGUCUCCAAGCCUGAAAAUCAUCCUCCUAUCACCUUUUUAAACUAAAAAGGAGACAAGUACUCAUCACCCAGCUACAACUCUAAGUCAUCGAACAACUCUUUCUUAUAUAUUACAACCAAAAGAUAAGAGAAGAACUAGUCCCAAUCCCUAUUCCAGGCGAUCCUCAGAAGCUCUCCCCGACGCCUGUCCAGCACAGAGAGGAAAUUCUUCAGGAUAACCAGUUGAGCAGCGUCGCAGAGAGCCGACCAUUGUUGCAAAAUCCCUCUUAACUUGACAAGGACGCAACCCAGUCCUUUCCAAGUGCGCCCCUGGAAGCAAAAUUCAUUUCUUAAAAUCCAAACACUCCACAAGGAGGCAGCAAUAGUCAUAUUGAGCAAUUUUCCUUUCCUAUUCAGUUUCCAAAGGGAAGCUACAUCAUGAAAGCAAAGCAUCCUACUGCACUGAAAAAAAUCAGAGAUAAUUAUCCAAAUAACAUCCACAUUAACACACUCAAAGAAAAGGUGUUGUAUGGAUUCUGGUUCAUUGCAAAACAAACAUGUCAGAUCAUCAAGAUGUUUCCUUUUAGCCACAUUGUCUCUGGUUAGUAUUUUAUUAUACAGACAUAACCAGAGGAAGACAUGAAUAUUUUGAGGGCAUAUAGUUUUCCACAAACUAUCUUCAAAAGGAGAAACCACACCACCAAAGUUUAUAAACCUGUAAAAAGAACGUACAGAGUAGAUCCCAUUGGAUUCUAGUUCCCAAAUUGGUGUAUCAUGUGCACCAGUUAUGCAAAAGCUUUUAAUAAAGUCAAUGAGAUUAUUCCAUUCCUCCAUACCAUUACUGUCGACACAUCUUCUAAACGACAAUCUAAGAGAUGUCCCAUCCCAAACCUGAGACACUGUGCAAUCUUGUUGAUUACAAAUGUCAAAUAGAUUCCAAAAUCUUACUUUCAAAGAACAAUCUCCAGCCCAGAUGUCAUGCCAAAAACUAACAAGAUCACCAUUGCCAAUCUUCCAUCUAUAAAAGGUUUUAGUGGCAUUUAAAGCCCAGGUAACACUCUUCCAAAAGGGAGAGCCUCCUUGUUGUCUAGACCACAGAAUGUUUGGGUUAGACACAUUAUAUUUAUAUCUUAGAAUCUUCUUCCAAUCACUGUCCACCUCACUAAAAAAUCUCUUCCCCCAUGAAGCUAACAAAGCCAUAUUAAAUUCCCUAAUGUUGGGUAUCCCCAACCCACCAAACUCUUUCUUCCCUAGUGAUGCUUCCUAUUUGCCCCGCGAUGAUUAUAUUGAAGGAACCAAUAGUACGAUUGUUCCACUCGUUAAAUUCCAGGUUCCUAUUUGAUUUUUAUUUUCCUAUUAACUUUUCUUCAAUGGCAAUACUCCCUCCGUAUCGAAAAAUAAUCUAUACCUAUACCUAUACCUACUUACUAAUAAUAAUAAAGUAAAUUGAUAUUCUUGAUUUCGUCCCGCGCUUAGUUUUUUUGUUAGCUUUGGUCACGUACGGUUGUCCAUCCGUCCUAUUUUUGUCAUGUACGAGGUGGUAGUAAAACGCUGUUUGAUCUCAAUUUUGCAUCCGUUGCUGGGUGCUUGGACGUCCUGCUUAGUACAAACACAUAACUAGGCCAAAAGUAUUAAAGUUGACCGCCUGACUGGGCCAAAAGUAUUAAAGUUGACCGCCUCAGAUGGGAUCGAUCUUAGGACCUCUUCUUCAAAGUUUAAUGCCACCUCGCUUUUCUGCAACAAAUCACAUCUACUUAAAUAUAUGUAGGUUCAGAAAAUCAACAAGCUGGGACAUCUAAUCCGAGGAAAGGUAGCAAGGGGGUCACAUGGGGUCGGAACUCAGAAGGAGGCUCUAUGCAGCAGCAGNNNNNNNNNNNNNNCAGGAAUUGAGAUGACCUCGGAGUAAAGAGGCAAGGACGCGAUUUCAUGGUGUGGAUUGCUUUUUUAAGUGCCUGCUCCGACGAGAACACACUAGAUGUUGCAAUUAUUAUUAUUUUACAUGUACACCGGCAUAAUUAGCUGUUGUUGUUUGUUGUUACUGUUUAGUUUAAUGUUCAUGUCUAUCACAUAUUAUGAGUACAUCGUCGGAUGUACAAUAAUUGUUAUCAUCAAAUAGAGAUUUAUUGUUCCAUCUCACACAGCCGCCAACUCUAAAAAUAUAGGUUUUUUCGCCUCCCGUCGGUGCCCGCGUCGGUCCGCCUCGUCUCCGAUGGCCUUAGGGCCAUGGAGGCGUGGUGGAUCUAGGCCCUUGCCGCUCGGAGGAAUCCUUUUUUAUAUUUUUUUUGAGUUUUAUUAGGGUCUGUGUGUUGCUCAAGAAGGCGAGACAGUGUCGGUUCUUUGAAGAUGAAAUAAGGUUUUUCCGUCGAGGCCCUGUUUCGGUGGUGCACCUAGCAUCGUCAAUGGAAUUGUGAAGGUGUGUCUCCAGUGGAUCUGCCUUUGGUGGAUUUGUUCGCCGUUCGUUUACGUUCGUGUGUCUUCAGGCUGGAUUCUUUCGAUCUAUAUUAUUUUUAUCGACGAUGGUUACUAUUCUGAUGCGCUGGCCCUAUUACUAUUGAUAUAAACAAUCCCACUUCAAUGCACCAUUACUAUUUCAUCCAAAAAGAAUUCGUUUGCAAAUCUUUUGAAAAAUCUAAGAAAAACUUUUGAAUUAGUUAUUAAUCUUUUGAAUAUUAUACAACAAUUUCACCGUCUAUGUCACGUUAAAAUCAACAAUUAUACCAUAUAUGAUAGUGUUAAGCUGAUGGAGGCAUCAUCCAAGGACAUCGGCCCCUACAACUUUCUUAACUUUAUACUACACUGAGCAUGUGCGUUCUUUUAAUUGCAAAAACCAAGGAAGUGUGUUUUCUAAGAUAAGGAGUGUUUUGAAUUCUUCUGGCUUUAAAACAUUUAUGUAUGAUAUUUAACGUACGGGCAUUUGUACUAGUUGUAUUUAGAGAGAACUAGACUCGUUCUUUUUAACAAUAAUUAUUUAUGUACAGAGAAAGUACAUUAUAUACUAUACACAUGAACAUAUCUUUUGAAAGUCGUGAACAUUUGACUUUUGAAUUACAUGAACAUUUCAAUUUCUAUUAGUGAAUAGUUUUGUGUAUUGAAUAAACCCUUUUUGUGACUCUCCAACAAUGUUUCGCAUGGCAAAUAAUCUAAACAUUCUUCUUAAUGCACAUGAACAAAUGUUUAAAUGGUCAAAAAAAUUGUAGACCUAUAAAAAGUACUAAUAGUAUAUACCAGUUUCUAUUAAAGUGAUAUUUUACAAAAGAGAUUUUAAAAUUAAAUAUAAUUUUGAAAAGCAAAGGAAAACGGUUGAGCUGGCUCAUUUGGCCAGUUCGUUUGCACCCCAACAGUGGCAAACAUGAGUUCUUCAGCACGAAACAACAAUGGGAGCGAGACACCCGACCGAAGAGGAAUGAGGACGGCAAUAUCUUGAGCAGUUGUAGCCCAGCUGAUUUGGAGCAAACCAGCCCGAAGGCAUGAUCAGGUUAGCGGCCCGUUGAUGUCCUCACUGCUGACUACAAAGGCCUGAAUGUACCCGCGAAACGGCCUAAAAAUCCUUGCAAACCCAGAGCCAAAAAGUUUGUAUCAUGUACCAAUGCCCCUGAUGAUCCGACACAGCUGGAGCGAGCGACAUAGCUGAAGUUGGUUCCUCUGUUGUCGCGGCUGAUCCAGAUUCACAGUCAGGCAGGCAGCACAAGCUCCCAUCCCAAGGAGCCGCCACACUUGACAUGGGAUGCGCCCCGGCGCGUGGCUCCAGUUGAGUGAUGAUUCAUCUCUUCAGGGGUCUUGCCUCGUGAGCUUUUACUGACCCAGCUCGAUGGUGCCUGUUAUUCGGUGGCUUGCCAGAACAUGGGUUGUGGUCGAACCUCGAAGAAGGUGGCAUGGUCUCCAGUGUUAGUGUCACCAGUCGCUCGUAUCCAGAAUUUCGUCGGUCGCCGUGAUUCGUGGGUGAGAUAAUCGUCUAGUUUGGUACUCGGUUAUUGCAGAGCAGGCUGUGAAGAUCCCCUCGUCACAUUGCAACUCACAGGUCAGUAAUGUUGCCACAAUGUGAGGCUCUGAAUUCUUUUUAUUUUAUGGGUGAGGCUCUAAAUUCUGGCGAGGCGACAAGCCUGGGCAAUGUCGCUGCAGGUUCGAGAGCUUGCUCCCAGCUAUUUAUUAUUACUAAAAUUUGGGCAUACAGCCAUACAAAUGUCUUAUCUCAUAUACAUAUCCAUAAGGUGACAACAGGCACAUUUUAUCAUGCUACAUCUUGCAUACAAAAGAAGAGCAUUACAUAAGAUAGAGGGGCUUAACAUUAAUCCCAGAUUCAUACUAUGUAAGAACAGAAGUUAUUCCAGCAAGCCAUGAUCUCAGCCAGCCCCUACUGUUUUUUUUCUUGCCAGUGAAGCCCGACUCAGUGCUACUCGCAGGUAAACCCAGUCAUACACGCUGUCAGAGAACGAGAACCAACGAAUUCUCCAAUUCCUCUUGAACAAGAAGCCACAAAAGACCAUCCAGAGCCCGGCUAUUAACCCUGUAUCAAUACCGAGGUAAAAUGACAACACAUCACUCAUGCCCUCAUGUUGUUCUUCGGGAGCCUGUGGAGUGAUUUCAUUUCCUGAACAGUUCCUUGAUACAGGUGGACCACAGAGACCUGGGUUGCC